rnacentral:rRNA from 1 species
UACCAGCACCCCGAGUGGUCGGGACGAUUAUUGGGCCUAAAGCAUCCGUAGCCGGUCCUACAAGUCUUCCGUUAAAUCCACCUGCUUAACAGAUGGGCUGCGGAAGAUACUAUAGGGCUAGGAGGCGGGAGAGGCAAGCGGUACUCAGUGGGUAGGGGUAAAAUCCUCUGAUCCAUUGAAGACCACCAGUGGCGAAGGCGGCUUGCCAGAACGCGCUCGACGGUGAGGGAUGAAAGCUGGGGGAGCAAACGG